GGAAAACCAGGCUAGACAUUGAAUGAUUAGAAGCCAUAUAUGUGGGAUCCUGGAAGAUGAAGGCCAUCUUGCAUAUUUUCACCCCAGCUGAGUUGCCAGCUGAAUGGAGCUGCAUAAGGGACUGGCCUCCAGCAAAAUCUACAGAAGAAUUACCCAGCUGAACCUAAGUGAAUCCACAAAAAUCUGAAAAAAUAAUAAACCAUUAUAUUAAAGCACCAAGUUAGUAGAUGAUUGUUACACAAUUGACAACUAAUGCAGAUAUUGAAACCUAUAGUUAAUGUGCUAAUAUAACUAAAACCUAAAACAUCUUUGUAUGGCUUAGAGGAGAGUUAUUCCUGCUGGAAGUAUGAAUUAUAAAAUGCUUCUCCGCUUGGCAAAAAAGCAGACCUUGCUCUGAGCUGAUGCAACCUCAUGCAAAUGCACAAAUUACAAGAAGCUUGCAAUCCCUGUUUCAGUACAAGCAACUCUUCCUGUCUUCUUAUCCAGCAAAUAUUUAGACUUCCAUGAUUGUAAGGGGCUGAAAGUCUGAAAAGUCACAAGAGGAUGGGAGAGGAGCAGUCUGCAAGCAGCCGUAGGAGCAAGACCUUGAGACGUGUCCAUCAAUGCUACACAGAGUCUCGCUCUGUUGCCAGGCUGGAAUGUAAUGGCACAAUCUCGGCUCACUUCAACCUCUGCCUCCCGAAUUCAAGCAAUUCUCCUGCCUCAGCUUCCCUGAGUAUCUGAGACUACAGAUGCCCACCACCAUGCCUGGCUAAUUUUUGUAUUUUUAGAAGAGACAGGGUUUCAUCAUGUUGGCCAGGCUGGUCUCGAACUCCUGACCUCAGGUAAUCCACCGGACUCGGCCUCCCAAAAUGCUGGGAUUACAAGUGUGAGCCACCACGCCCAGCCAGAUCUCUUCUUUAAUAGAGAAUAAAAACAGAAAAGCACAAUCUAAAACCACACCAGGACAAUUGUUUGCAGGGUUUCACAUUUCAAAUAUAUCUGCAGCUUGCCUUUGACUUAAUAGUUACUGGUAAUUAUUUGUAAUCAUAAAAAUGAAACCAUUAUAUCUACUGUUUCCCAUUGAAAUAUUCAUUUUUUUUCACAUUCUCAGUUUUCUCAUACGUAACUAGCAAUUAUUGUAUAAGAACAAUAUCCACUUAUGUUGUUUACAGUAAUUGUGGUUUGGGCUCUGGGCAUCACAGCAGGAUACAAAUUACCUCAAGAACAAACAAAUGCAAACACCAUGGUUUAUUAUCUUCCGUAGCUCAAGUUCUUGUCUAUCUUUCUUCAAAUAUAACAUAUUAAUGAUCUUAAAAAUCUUGUAUAGUAUAUAUCGCGUAAUAAUUUUCUCCUGGACUGUUGUCCAUUUCUGGAACAGAAAGGAGACUUUCAUGUCAUUUUUUUGUGUGCGUGCCGAAAGCAUAUUUAAAAAUAGAAAGCCUUAUCAGUAGAGUGGCCCAACAUCUAUCAGUUAGUAAGCAAGUUUCAGUAAUUUAAAG
rnacentral:lncRNA from 10 species